rnacentral:lncRNA from 1 species
UUCAAACUCAUCUUUACUAAGGAGUAUACCCCUAAAAACACUUAUAAAUGUAGUUAAUUUGUCUAAAAGAAAUUCAAGCCAUAGGAGAUUUACAACAUAAAGAAUGGCCAAAUUUAUUUACAAAAUUCGUACAACAAAUUUUACAUCCUCAAAUUUAAGUACCACAUAAAAAUACAAUAUUAUAUCUUCCAAACAUUUACGUCGUCGUUAGUUUGGUGGGUCUUCUUUUGAUUUUGUUUCUUUGGAAUCGAGUUCUUCAUCCCUACAAAAUAAAACAAUGCACCAAAGAGUGCAAGGCAAAUAUAUCAGAAGAUAUGGGACUGCCAAAAAUAAAUAGCAAGACCCCAAGACCUUUGUCUGAAACAAAGAAACAAACUCACUACUAAAAAAAAACCUGACAAAAGGAAUUCAAAGACCAACCCCUAUAUAGGAAGUAUUUCUCUUCCUUACUACACAAUUGGUGGAUAGAAAAUCUCUUGCAAUUGUAAGAAAAAUAAUUCAUUUCAUCAAAAUUUCUAAAAACUAUUCCCAGGGUAUAAUAUGCAAACAGAGAGCUGACCACAAUCUUUUCGAAAAUUUAAAUAGGGCAUCAGUCACUGUGUGGUAGUAGACUAACUUAUGCAAUUGAUCAAUUCUUCAUAGACAACAUAUCAAACAGGUGAUGCGCAAAUUUUUUUUUUGCAUAUGUAUGACAUUUGAGCAGAGGAUCAUUACCUGACAUGCAAAUCAAUACUAAUAUAUUGUCUAUUGCAUUAGUGACACGGAAGCAAUGGAGAUAGAUGACCAUCCUCCAGUCCAACAUGCUACUGAUAAAAAUAAAAAUGCCAAGUUACCUGGGUCUUGCUUGAAAUUGAGAACUGAAUUAAAUACUUAUAAACCCUUCUUGCCGCAAUAGAAAAACUCCACACGUUCAGUAAUUGGUCUUGUAGUUCUGGGCUCUCUGAUGACUAUUCUUAUAGCUCCCAAUAUCUGACAAUUGUGCUCUUAAUUUCAGUUGGUCCAAGUCCUUGAGUGCCAGCCAGAAAAAAUUACAGUCUUCAACAUUAUCUACCCCUUUUAGCUUUAUACUGAUUGUCAACAGGGAAUUGGAGCUGAUUUUGCAAGGGCAUACCUGAGUAAUGUAUGUGUUGCCAAGGAACUUUGCCGAAAUGGGUUGGGUUACUCGCUUGUUGCACAGUCAAAGAUGGUUGCUGAAGAUUGGGGUAAUGAGUUUUAUGUUUCUACUCUCCAGUACAUAUAUAUUAAUUUAUGGUGAUGGUACGGUCUGAAUAUUAUUAAGCCUAAAUAUUGGCAGAUUAUGUGGUUGUAGGGGUUGUCAACAAUCAAGCAGCUGUACCUUACUCAAGGGCAGAGGUUAUGCUCCUAUUGGAGGUAAUGCUGAUGUUUGGAAACAUCAUCACAGAGUAGUGAAACACAACCUAGUUUCAAGAAGUAAAAUUAGCAUACACAAUAGAGAGAGAAAGCAAAACCUUAAAAUUGCUGCGUUUCAUGAAGAACUGUAGGGAGGACUGCAGUCCAAAGGUUAACAUCACCCCUGAUAAGAACAGGAUUUGAUUCAGUAUCACCAAAAUAACCCCCAUGUUCAGCAAGAACAAAAGAAUCAAUAAGCAAAAUAGUAAGAGCAAAUAAUAAGAACUGAGCCAUAAAAUGUUGGCAGAGUGUCACUUAUACUUACAUUUCCCAUGGCAAGUAGUCUUUUAUCAAAGAAGAAAAUGAUUCCCAAAAAGGAGAAAAAAAACACCAAGAUUCGUAUGAGUUUAAAAAAGUCAAAAGACAUGAGGGAAAUAUACAAUUAGACCUUCAGAUUCAACAACAGCUUCUGUUUUACCAAAUAUCCAUCCCACCAUCUUUU